UCUGCGACGUAGCCUACCAGAGGGAAAGGAGAGAAGCUUGCAGGGUGUGGGCUGGAAAUGCAGCCCCUAAAAUGCCGCACAGCAGCCUAAAGCAAAGCAACCAUUACCAGACAUCUUCUGUAAACUGGUUUGUGGGAGGCUGAGCCAUAUUCCAUUCAGGGGAGAGUCUCUUCCUUACAGUGCUACUUGUAACUUCCCAGCGGGGUGGAAGGAUAUUUUCUUAGUGAAAAGAACAGGAGGACUUGUGGCACCUUAGAGACUAACCCGUUUAUUGGAGCCUAAGCUCUCGUGCGCUCUAGCUCACUAGUAACAUUAAGGAAUCGAUGAAUUUGAGUUAAGGGGGGAAGGCUCCCUGGAGCGCUGAUGAUGACUUCAAUAUACAGCACACAGAACAGGAUUGCCCAGAUGACUUCACUAUACGCCACGUAGAACGGGCUUGCCCAGGCAGUAAUACCAAGGGUGCGUGUGGCAAAGUUACCAAGGUCGCGAGGACAGUACCUCUAGUGGUGUGCCCCUAACUUCAUAGAUUUUAAAACUCAGACUGAAGGCACCCAACUGCAAUACUUCCAUGUGCUUCCGUCUUCCCGACCUGCAGUCUGAAGGCGGGGUUUGAGAUGGGCAGCUUCACAGCCUCCACUACACGGAAAAAGAACAGGAGGACUUGUGGCACCUUAGAGACUAACCAAUUUAUUUGAGCAUAAGCUUACGUGAGCUACAGCUCACUUCAUCGGAUGCAUACUACACGAAAAGACAGCGCACAGCAGCCUUCAGCAGUGAUUAACGUGGUGGGGCUAUGAAUCUGGGAAGAGCAGCUUUGCUAACGACAGUGCUUAAUUAAAGUGCGUCCUUCAGUGACCCAGCUUGAUUAAAAAAAACACCGCUUUGGCUGGGUCUGCGACCCUUUGCAAAUCCUCUUCACCCCUCACCCCCCCACUCCAGCCACUGGGAAGGAGUUAUGAGCUGCUGCAGAGCCUAGAAGCUCCAGGAAACAAAGCUCCCUUGGAUGGAAGAGGCUGGGCCAAUGAAACCAGCUCUCAACCCUGACUGGAAGCGCUGUGGGUGGGAGAGUUCAGUUUCCAGGCCCUCCUCCGUUGGAAUCUCUGCUGAGAUCACAGAGCAGGCAAUCUCCUUUCUUCCAUGUAAAAAGAUGCAGCCUGGAAGGGCCAGUGGUGAGCACUGCCAUCCCAAAGGUCUCUAGCAGCUGAGGGGGAUCCAGAGAGGCACAACAGAAAAGAUGAUUACCAGGGUGGACUUCUGAGGAAAGAAUAAAAGAGUUAAAGGGGGAACAUUGUUGACAUCCGUGGAGUAAAAAUAGGCAUGGAUUUGGCCCACUACAUCUAGUUUGGUUAUGUGACAGCUAAGUGGGGCUGGCCCAGCUAUCUGCAAGUAUCUGAAGGGUGUAAACACCAAGCAGCAGAGGAAGUGGUUAGAGAUCCUCUGGUUAGAGAGGGUCCGGGCACAGAACAAGGAGGAAUGGCGUAGAACUAAGAAAUGUAGGCUGGAUGUUAGACCCCACCAUUAGGAAUGUUUCCUUUCCAGAUGAGGACUGACAAUCUCCCACAGCUUGAGCCAUUUCUAUUGAGACUGGACAAUGAGUAAACAGUGCAAACAAGAACAGCCCCACACUGGUGGUGGAGGACCAGGGGCUGGGCUGACUGCUAUUUGACCAGACAACUGUAUUCCACCCCUGAUUUCUCUGACGCUGUGAAGUGACAGGGUUCCUUUGUUUUUUUC